CCCACUGCCAAAACAUUUCCCAGCAACGCGUCAGCCUGCCUUUGGACACGUUCCUUACUAAAACAAAUAGGUCUAACAAAUCGUCUUUGAUAGCAAAUGCUCAUAAAGACAAACAAUGAAAACUACUAUGUUGUGUGUCUUAGGGCGGCCGGCACUGUGUGGAAUUGCCACACACAGAAACAAAACAAUCGAGCUCACCAGGCCGGCUCCCAGAAGUCAGCAGCUCAUGGCGACUUGCUCCUUCUGGGUGCCAGCACUGAGCCGGUGUCUAUGUCUGCAGCGUAUGUAAAUACUGGCGCGCCUCUGCAUUGAAGUCGUUCAAGGAAGGUGUUGAAUUAGAAGAAUCUCGUUAUGAACAUUCUGCUGUAAAGCCUCCUAAGCAGGAACUCGCAGCCACCCAGGUGUUUGCCCACCCCCAUCCCCACCGCGUACCUCCUCCUCCUGGUGAAAAGUCACACUGAUGACAAACUCUACGUGCUGCCUGAUGGGCUUUGACCCUGGGAUAUCCUCCCCUCCCGCGGUCUUCAGGAGAGGAAAAAAGGGCCAAAUGGAGAACUGAGGGAAUUCUCUAAAUAGUUGAAAGACACAUCCAAACGGACUUUGCCCUACUCAUCUGUCGUGGUAGCCUCCCAUACACGCUGCUGGGACAGUUGUCGACGGCCCACUUCGUCUUCCAGCGGGGUAAGCCAACUAUACUGACCCCAGCCCCCUGGGGAGCCGUGUAGGGUUGUAUGUCUCGGGUACAACUAGUUCUGACCCCCUCGAUGCACACGCAUGGGCUUCCAAGGCUAAAUUCCGAACGAAGAGAAUAAAACUGCCGCAAAUGGGAGGAGGACUCAUAGGCUUGGACUGAGUGGGCCCUGGAGGGUUCCACUCAGGGAACACGAGUCGAUCUGCUUCAUACCCCGAGGGAGUAAAUUUCUGAACUAGCCUCUCCAUCCAAUCCUUACUCCCUUAACUAGAAGUCGGAAAAUAGCUUUUCCAGGUUCUGGUGACCUGCCUCGGUGUUGCUGGCCCUUGGCCCCACUCCCCAUUCCUGUGGUGUCACCACGUCCCCAAUCCCGCGUUCCAGGAGCUCUGCCACAUCCCGCUUCCCGGUGCUUUUGUGCAGGAGGGGCCCACAGAGGCCUCGUUCUUCUUUUUUUUUUUUUAAACCGUUACCAUGACGUCAUGCCUUUUUCUCAAAGCUAAGACCCCUCUCCUGUGCCUGGGGAAUUAUAACCUCUCCUGGAGGGUCAGAGAGGGGAACGGAGGUCGGCUGCGCCCAGCCACCACUCCACCAAACAUUCAUUACCGCUGUCGCCUGCGGGGACUUUCAAGCUGCAAGUACCUAAGGCGUCAAAAAGGAUGCCCGAGGGGUCCUGCGGUAUUUGUCCCAAUCAAGUCACGGGUAGUAGCGGGGAGGGCAGAGUGGAACAACAGAAGGGGGCAUCCGAAACUUCAGCACGAAAAUUAAAACUUUAGCUUGUACCCCCCCCCCCCCAAGACUGCAUCUUCAUGUUCAAACAACAGCCAGUAACAACAAUAAUAAAACAGUGAGUGCUUGAAAUACAAUCAAACUGUUCACUGGAGGUUUGCUUCCGAGUAAGCAUAUAAAAACCAAAUGCAAAUAUCUUUUCCUGGCGAUUAUCCAGAACCCAACCAUGGAAAGUUGAUCUCUGUAAAACUGAACACCACCACCACCCCCUCCUCGUGCCAAAUAAGAAUUUCACAAUGGCCAAUUUUCUAUCCAAAGCCGGGAGGGCAACAGAAAACACCACUGCUGUUCGAUUUGUUAUUUGCAGAACAAACUGUUUACACUUCUAUGGGCUGGGGGUUGGGGAGCAACUGGGGACUGGAGGAGGGCAGUCCAACACAUUGUCUCUUACAGAACCCGGCCCGCUGGAAUGUGGAAACCCUACAAUCAGAAAACAAACAAGUUGCUAAAAGCUGCGUGUGAAGUUGCUAAAAGCUUCGUUCAUCCUACCACACAGCUGGUUGUAUGCACAGCUUAAGAACCAAAUGCCAAGGUGCAGGGGACGAUCGCUUUCUAAUUGUACUCCAUUUAGGGCCAGACCCAGGAUUUAAAAGCCACAGCAUCCUGAGUUGCUAGCAGGGAGUGGGGCGAGGCACCGAAAUACCAUCUUCUUCCUCACUGGAACCCCCGCGGCUGUGACCGAGCCUCUGAAACCUAAAGUCGGACUGGAGAACCUGCGGGUGAAGAGUGGAUGGGAUGUCAAUGUGACCCGCGAUAGCAGAGAGAGGGAUGUUACGAAAAGGAGAGACCAAGGGAUAGGGGGAGGGUUGGGAAGGCCGGAGAAAUCCCGGCGCUGGAGACAGCAAGAUAGACUAAGGAGUGAGGCAGAUCCUGUGCGAAGAGAGACUCGAGGGCUCCGUGGAGGACUGGGAACUGUGGACGCAGGAAGGGUCCUGGGGCCAGUGAGGACUCCGAAAGUCUGCAGUCCCCGAG
ensembl:lncRNA LOC120097742 uncharacterized LOC120097742